UUGCCCAUAACCAGGAUGGAUUCUCAGGUAAAGCAUGCUGUUGUAGUCAAAGUUAUGGGUCGAACUGGGUCAAGAGGGCAAGUGACUCAGGUUAGAGUGAAGUUUUUGGAUGAUCAGAACCGUCACAUCAUGAGGAAUGUGAAGGGACCAGUGAGAGAAGGAGACAUUCUCACUCUUCUGGAGUCUGAAAGAGAAGCAAGAAGGUUGCGCUGAGGGUCUCUGGAUGUGUUGUUCGGCUCAGGAUACACACUGUGGUGAAACAUUCCUCUUUUUGUGGUAGUUAUGAAUUUUGAUGUUAUUGUGAUCGAGUAAAAUUGUGUUUUUAUUUUCUAUAUAAUGCUUUUCCUUCUUUUUUUGUUUGUUUUUAGAUGUAGUCAGAGCGAUUACUUUGAUAUAACUUUGCGAAUGGUUGUCAUCUAAACUUUGUCAUGUUUUUGGAAU